rnacentral:rRNA from 3 species
GAGAGGACCGGAGUGGACGCAUCACUGGUGUUCGGGUUGUCAUGCCAAUGGCACUGCCCGGUAGCUAAAUGCGGAAGAGAUAAGUGCUGAAAGCAUCUAAGCACGAAACUUGCCCCGAGAUGAGUUCUCCCUGAGACUUAGAGUCUCCUGAAGGAACGUUGAAGACGACGACGUUGAUAGGCCGGGUGUGUAAGCGCAGCGAUGCGUUGAGCUAACCGGUACUAAUGAACCGUGAGGCUUAACCUUACAACGCCGAAG